ensembl:lncRNA
AUAGAAUUGAUGAGGUUUCAUAUAUGUAAAAAUUAAUGACUAUCAGUAUAUUAUCAUUUAUGAAAGAUUUGAACGUCCUAGGUAGACUCUGUGACUAGGGUAUGGUACUGUGAUUUUCUUAGUGUUUCUUGUGCUUGGGAUUCAUUGAGCUGCUUGGAUCUGCGAGUUUUUGAUUUUCAUUAAAUUUGGAAAAAUGUUGGCCUGUCUUUCUUCCAGUGCUUUUCUACCUACCCCUCUCCUUUAAGGUCUGCAAGUACGCAUAUAUCAGGCUGCUUGAAGUUGUCCUACAGCUCAGUGAUGCUCUGUCCUUUUUUAAAAAUUCUUUUUUCUUUCAUCAAUUUUAGAUAACUUCUAUUGCUAUGUUUUCAAAUUUACUAAUCUUGGGGGACAAUAUUUCAUCUACCAUUAAUUCUGUCCAGUGUGAUUUUAAUCUCAGGAUUGAGAUCUUCCCAAAGCAUGAUGAGUAAGGUGCCAGUGUUUACCUGGAGGAAACCUCUCCAGAUGGUGCUAAUGUACUCUGCCUCAUUCAGCAUCUUUACUGGCAACUUGGAAGUCAAAGAGAGCAGGCAUGUCAAGUGCUCAGUUGACCAGAGUCAGGAGAUAGCACUAAGUCAGCUGUCAGGAACAAGAUUCAGAGAGAUCUAGACAGCUUAGAAUGUUGGAUCAAAACUAACAAGAUGAAAUAUAGAAUCUGUAGUUGAAUUCAAGCAUUCAAUGCCCCAGGUAAGGGAGACCUGAGUUCCUGAGUGAACAACAAAAAGCAGUGAUUUUGGCUGAUUGCACACUCAAUAUAAAUUACUAGCAUAACGUGCUUGUUAGAAAAGGGAGAGGGAGGGGGGCCGGCCCUGUGGCUGAGUGAUGAAGUUCGCGCGCUCCGCUGUGGUGGCCCAGGAUUUUGCUGGUUUGGAUCCUGGGCAUGGACAUGGCACCACUCAUUGGGCCAUGCUGGGGCGGCCUCCCACAUGCCACAACUGGAAGGACCCACAACUAAAAAUAUACAGCUAUGUGCCGGGGGGCUUUGGGGAACAAAAGGAAAAAUAAAAUCUUUAAAAAAAGAAAAAAAGAAAAGGGGGCGAGAAAGCAUUUUUGCAGCUUUAUAUUGCAUAUAUAAAGUGGUCGUAUCCAAGAUAAAGGAGAUAGUUAUUCCCCCAGAAUUGUAGUUUUCAUUUCUAAAAGUUCAAUUGUAAUCUUUUUUGUAUCUCCCAUGACUCUACUUAAUAUUUUGAAUAUAUGGAAUGCAGUUAUAAUAACAGUUUUAAUGUCUUUGCUUGUUGCUAAUUCAGCAGUUGCUUGCUGCUAACACAGAUGCUAAUGACAUCUGUGUCAUUUCUGGGUCAAUUUUUAUUGACUGAUUUGUCUACUCAUUGUGGGUCACAGUUUCCUGUCUCUGUAUGUCUGGUAAUUUUUUUUUCCUUUUUUUUUUUUUUUAGGAAGAUUAGCCCUGAGGUAACAUCUGCUGCCAGCCCUCUUUUUUUGGCUGAGGAAGACUGGCCUUGAGCUAACAUCCAUGCCAUCUUCUUCUGCUUUAUAUGUGGGAUGCCUGCCACAGCAUGGCUUGACAAGUGGUGCAUAGGUCCGCACCUGGGAUCCAAACCUGCAAACCCUGGGCUGCUGAAGCGGAACGUGCAAACUUAACCGCUGCGCCACCGGGCCAGUCCCUGUAUGUCUGAAGGGUCAUUUUGGACCAGAGAGAGACAGACGGGGCCAAUUACUUGGCGUGUGGAUAAAAGUGGUCGGAUGAUUCAGGCUCCAGAUGGCCAUUCAGCAAGCUGAAUAGAGAGACUGAACGACCAAUCUCGUGUUCAAAUGAGGACAAGGAAGGUAAAGGUGACCGUUGAUGAGGUAACAAGGGGAGUGGGGUGUCACAGAAAGCCCCUAGAUGGGCGUCUCGGGGAGGCUGGAGUUGCUGCAGGAUCAUUUCUGAGCCUCCACAAGCACAGACAAGUUCAAAGUGUUGACUCCUGAGGAGUCCUUGCAUCAUUCUCCAGGCCAAAGGGAAUCCAAGCAGACCGCUGAAACAUACACGGUGUUUACUUCAUCCGCUUUGGCUGUCACAGUUUUUUGGCUGAAAUAGUAAUCACCCGAGAGCUGCUCUCCACAGCUUCCAGAAGAUCUGUUCAAACACUGACUCGCUUACCAAAUGUUUAUUGUAUCACUUGUUUUUUACAAGGCACCGCCCCCCCCCCC